rnacentral:rRNA from 1 species
UACAGAGGUCUCAAGCGUUAUUCGGAUUCACUGGGCGUAAAGGGUGCGCAGGCGGCCAAGUGUGUGAGGCGUGAAAGCCCGGGGCUUAACCUCGGAAUUGCACCUCAAACUACAUGGCUAGAGCAUUGGAGAGGGUAGCAGAAUUCACGGUGUAGCAGUGAAAUGCGUAGAUAUCGUGAGGAAUACCAGAGGCGAAGGCGGCUACCUGGACAAUUGCUGACGCUCAGGCACGAAAGCGUGGGGAGCAAAAGGG